rnacentral:rRNA from 1 species
CGGCAAAAGCUCAAAUUUGUAAUCUGGCUUUUUUUAAAGUCCGAGUUGUAAUUUGUAGAGGAUGCUUUUGGUGAGGUACCUUCCGAGUUCCCUGGAACGGGACGCCAUAGAGGGUGAGAGCCCCGUCUGGUUGGAUACCGAUCCUCUGUAAAGCUCCUUCGAC